rnacentral:rRNA from 1 species
UAAUACGUAACCCACGAGUGGUAUCCACUAAUAUUGGGCCUAAAACGUCUGUAGCCUGUUUUGUAAGUCUUUUGUGAAAUCAGCAAGCUCAACUUGUUGAAUUGCAAAAGAUACUGCACGACUCGAGGCCGGAAGAGGUAAAGGGAAUUUCAGGGGUAACGGUGAAAUGUUAUGAUCCCUGAAAGACCACCAGUAGCGAAGGCGCUUUACCAGGACGGUCCUGACGGUGAGAGACGAAAGCUGGGGGAGCGACCAGGAUUAGAUACCCUGUUAGUCCCAGCCGUAAACGAUGUGAACUAGGUGUCCUAAUACCUAAGAGGUAUGGGGGUGCCGAAGCGAAGGCGUUAAGUUCACUGCCUGGGGAGUAUAAUCGCAAGGUUG